rnacentral:rRNA from 1 species
AGCAGCCGCGGUAAUUCCAGCUCCAAUAGCGUAUAUUAAAGUUGUUGCAGUUAAAAAGCUCGUAGUUGAAUUUCGGGAUCAAUACGUCGGUCGUGCCUCUGGUAUGUACUGGUGUUAUUGAUUUCUCCCUUCUGAUGAAUCAUGAUGUCAUUAAUUUGGUGUUGUGUGGAGUCAGGACUGUUACUUUGAAAAAAUUAGAGUGUUUAAAGCAGGCUCACGCUUGAAUACAUUAGCAUGGAAUAAUGAAAUAGGACGUUCGAUCCUAUUUUGUUGGUUUCUAGGAUCAACGUAAUGAUUAAUAGGGAUAGUUGGGGGCAUUAGUAUUCAAUUGUCAGAGGUGAAAUUCUUGGAUUUAUUGAAGACUAACUACUGCGAAAGCAUUUGCCAAGGAUGUUUUACAUUAAUCAAGAACGAAAGUUAGGGGAUCGAAGACGAUCAGAUACCGUCGUA